rnacentral:rRNA from 1 species
UACGUAGGGGGCGAGCGUUAAUCGGAAUUACUGGGCGUAAAGCGUGCGCAGGCGGUCUGUUAAGACCGAUGUGAAAUCCCCGGGCUUAACCUGGGAACUGCAUUGGUGACUGGCAGGCUAGAGUGUGGCAGAGGGAGGUAGAAUUCCACGUGUAGCAGUGAAAUGCGUAGAGAUGUGGAGGAAUACCGAUGGCGAAGGCAGCCUCCUGGGCCAACACUGACGCUCAUGCACGAAAGCGUGGGGAGCAAACAGG